rnacentral:piRNA from 1 species
UCUUCUGGCCUGCAGGGACACAU